GUGAGGAAUUUUCCGCAAUGGGCGAAAGCCUGACGGAGCAAUGCCGCGUGAAGGAUGAAGGCCUAUGGGUUGUAAACUUCUUUUCUCAGAAAAGAAUUAUGACGGUAUCUGAGGAAUAAGCAUCGGCUAACUCUGUGACAGCAGCCGCGGUAAGACAGAGGAUGCAAGCGUUAUCCGGAAUGAUUGGGCGUAAAGCGUCUGUAGGUUGUUUAAAAAGUAUUCUGUCAAAGAUUAGGGCUUAACCCUAGAUAGGCAGAAUAAACUUUUAAGCUAGAGUUUGGUAGAGGCAGAGGGAAUUCCCGGUGGAGCGGUGAAAUGCGUAGAUAUCGGGAGGAACACCAAAGGCGAAGGCACUCUGCUGGGCCAAUACUAACACUGAGAGACGAAAGCGAGGGGAGCAAAUGGGAUUAGAUACCCUAGUAGUCC
rnacentral:rRNA from 1 species